rnacentral:rRNA from 1 species
CAGUCGCCGCGGUAAUACGGAAGGUCCAGGUGUUAUCCGGAUUUAUUGGGUUUAAAGGGAGCGUAGGCCGCAGGUUAAGUGUGUUGUGAAAAGCGGUCGCCCAACGUCUGCCUUGCAGCGCAAACUGUCCUGCUUGAGUGCGCACAACGCAGGCGGAAUUCGUCGUGUAGCGGUGAAAUGCUUAGAUAUGACGAAGAACUCCGAUUGCGAAGGCAGCUUGCGGGAGCGCAACUGACGCUGAAGCUCGAAAGUGCGGGUAUCGAACAGGAUUAGAUACCCCUGUAGUCCCUGUCCCUUAUAA